AUUGAACGCUGGCGGCAGGCCUAACACAUGCAAGUCGAGCGGAUGAAGGGAGCUUGCUCCUGGAUUCAGCGGCGGACGGGUGAGUAAUGCCUAGGAAUCUGCCUGGUAGGGGGGUAUAACGUCCGGAAACGGGCGCUAAUACCGCAUACGUCCUGAGUGAGAAAGUGGGGGAUCUUCGAACCUCACGCUAUCAGAUGAGCCUAGGUCGGAUUAGCUAGUUGGUGGGGUAAAGGCCUACCAAGGCGACGAUCCGUAACUGGUCUGAGAGGAUGAUCAGUCACACUGGAACUGAGACACGGUCCAGACUCCUACGGGAGGCAGCAGUGGGGAAUAUUGGACAGUGGGCGAAAGCCUGAUCCAGCCAUGCCGCGUGUGUGAAGAAGGUCUUCGGAUUGUAAAGCACUUUAAGUUGGGAGGAAGGGCAGUAAGUUAAUACCUUGCUGUUUUGACGUUACCAACAGAAUAAGCACCGGCUAACUUCGUG
rnacentral:rRNA from 1 species